rnacentral:rRNA from 1 species
GACGUAGGGGGCCAGCGUUGUUCGGAAUUACUGGGUGUAAAGGGUUCGUAGGCGGUGUGGCAAGUCGGGAGUGAAAUCUCUGGGCUCAACCCAGAGUCUGCUUCCGAAACUGCUGUGCUUGAGUGUGGGAGAGGCGCGUGGAAUUGCAGGUGUAGCGGUGAAAUGCGUAGAUAUCAGGAGGAACACCUGUGGCGAAAGCGGCGCACUGGACCACAACUGACGCUGAGACGCGAAAGCGUGGGGAGCAAACAGG